rnacentral:misc_RNA from 1 species
GAACAGACAACAAGACCUUGGCCUUGUAUUUGCCAUAAAGAUCAUAGUGGGUAGGGCUAAGAUUGAGCUCUUUAGCAAUCUCAGCGAUGUGCAGAGGCUCCACUGAAUUAGCAAUGUCUAUAUCCGCAGGCACUGGAGAGUCCACCUGGAGUUUCCUCACUGUCUUGGAUGAACUCAUUUUGCAAAAAUUUGGCGAUAUCCUCCAAACCCAGAACAGA